GACGAACGCUGGCGGCGUGCUUAACACAUGCAAGUCGAACGAAGUGGCGAACGGGUGAGUAACGCGUAAUCAACCUGCCCUUCAGAGGGGGACAACAGUUGAAAACGACUGCUAUAACCCCAUACUGAUGGAGGGGUUUGCGUAUGAUUAGCUAGGUGGAGGGGGAACGGCCCACCAAGGCGAUGGGCAGUAGGCGGUCUUGCGGGGAGAACGGCCACAUUGGGACCUGGGAAAGGCCCAAGCUCCUUAGGGAGGCAACAGUGGGGAAACAUCCGAAAUGGACGAAAGUCUGACGGAACAAAGCCGGGGGAUAGAUGACGGGCUUCGGGUUGUAAAACUCUGUUAAUCGGGACGCGUUACCGGAAUAGAAAGCCACGGCUAACUACGUGCCAGCCGCCGCGGUAAUAC
rnacentral:rRNA from 1 species